UAAAGAGUUAAAAUAUUAAGUAGUAAAAGAAGGCUUGAAACUUAAAAAUUUGGCGGUGUUUCAAUCUAAUUAGAGGAACUUGUUUAUGUUGAUCGAAAUUACACGGCUAAUCUUACUUAAAUUAUGUUUGUAUAUCAUCGUAAAAAUAAUAAUAAAAGUUAAUUAUUAAGAAAAAUAUGAUUUUUUAUGGCAGAUCAAGAUACAGCUAAUAUUUAAGGGAUAAAUGAGUUACAAUAAAUAAAUUUAUAGACGGAAUAAUUUUUAUUAAUAGUUAAGAAGGUGGAUUUAAAAGUAUUUUAAAAAUAAAAAGUUUAAAAGAAUAAGCUCUGAAAUAUGC
rnacentral:rRNA from 1 species